AAAUCUUCCCAGGGUUAGUCGGGUCCUAAGGCGAGGCCGAGAGGCGUAGUCGAUGGCAAUCGGGUUAAUAAUCCCGAACCGCAAAUAACGCGUUAUUACCGAUGGGGUGACGCAUGGAGCAGAAUUUAGCCACUGAUGGAUGUGGCGGAUUGCGCGUAAGAUGUACAGGUGGCAAAUCCCCUGUACGCAUAUCUGAGACGCAGGACCUUUUGAGGGCUUUGGCCCAAAGAAGAGUAAUUCCGGUCUGUGCCAGGAAAAACCUCUAAGGGAGUUUUAUUUGUGCCCGUACCGUAAACCGACACAGGUAGACGAGGCGAAUAGCCUAAGGUGCUCGAGACAACUCGGGAGAAGGAACUCGGCAAAUUAACCCCGUAACUUCGGGAUAAGGGGAGCCUCCAUUUGUUAGUGUGAACAGCACAAAGCAUAAGGAGGCCGCAGAGAAAUGGCAGAAGCGACUGUUUACCAAAAACACAGGGCUAUGCAAACCCGUAAGGGAAAGUAUAUAGUCUGACACGUGCCCGGUGCUGGAAGGUUAACAGGAGAUGUCAGCGCAAGCGAAGCAUUGAAUCGAAGCCCCAGUAAACGGCGGCCGUAACGAUAACGGUCCUAAGGUAGCGGAAUUCCUUGUCGGGUAAGUUCCGACCUGCACGAAUCGUGUAACGACUUCUGCACUGUCUCCUCCCGGGACUCGGCGAAAUUGCAGUGUCGGUGAAGAUGCCGACAACCCGCACCUGGACGGAAAGACCCCAUGAACCUUCACUGUAUUUUGACAUUGGUUUUAGGCUUGACAUGUGUAGGAUAGGUGGGAGGCUUUGAAGCGGUGACGCCAGUCAUCGUGGAGCCAUCCUUGAAAUACCACCCUUGUCCGGUUUGAGAUCUAACCGUGGCCCGUCAUCCGGGUCCGGGACCGUGUCUGAUGGUCAGUUUGACUGGGGCGGUCGCCUCCUAAAUGGUAACGGAGGCAUCCAAUGGUUCCCUCAGCGCGGUCGGUAAUCGCGCGUAGAGCAUAAAGGCAUAAGGGAGCUUGACUGCGAGACAGACAUGUCGAGCAGGUACGAAAGUAGGGCUUAGUGAUCCCGCGGUACAGCGUGGAACGGCCGUUGCUCAAUGGAUAAAAGGUACUCUGGGGAUAACAGGCUGAUCUCCCCCAAGCGUUCAUAGCGACGGGGAGGUUUGGCACCUCGAUGUCGGCUCGUCAUCCUGGGGCUGGAGAAGGUCCCAAGGGUUUGGCUGUUCGCCAAUUAAAGCGGCACGCGAGCUGGGUUCAGAACGUCGUGAGACAGUUCGGUCCCUAUCCGGUGUGGGCGCACGAAAUUUGAGGGAACCUGUCCUUAGUACGAGAGGACCGGGACGGACGCACCUCUGGUGUACCGGCUGUCACGCCAGUGGCAUUGCCGGGUAGCUAUGUGCGGAUUGGAGAAACGCUGAAAGCAUCUAAGCGUGAAGCCAUUCCCAAGAUUAGAUUUCGCGGGGGCAACCCCCUAAAGGAUCGUUAGAGACCAUAACGUUGAUAGGUCACAGGUGUAAGCAUAGCGAUAUGUUGAGCCGAGUGAUACUAAUAGUCCGUGAGGCUUU
rnacentral:rRNA from 1 species